GACGAACGCUGGCGGCGUGCUUAACACAUACAAGUCGAACGGAAAGGCCCUGCUUGCAGGGUACUCGAGUGGCGAACGGGUGAGUAACACGUGGGUGAUCUGCCCUGCACUUCGGGAUAAGCCUGGGAAACUGGGUCUAAUACCGGAUAGGAGCCAUUUUUAGUGUGAUGGUUGGAAAGUUUUUUCGGUGUAGGAUGAGCUCGCGGCCUAUCAGCUUGUUGGUGGGGUAAUGGCCUACCAAGGCGGCGACGGGUAGCCGGCCUGAGAGGGUGGACGGCCACAUUGGGACUGAGAUACGGCCCAGACUCCUACGGGAGGCAGCAGUGGGGAAUAUUGCACAAUGGGCGCAAGCCGGAUGCAGCGACGCCGCGUGGGGGAUGACGGCCUUCGGGUUGUAAACUCCUUUCGCUAGGGACGAAGCUUUUUGUGACGGUACCUAGAUAAGAAGCACCGGCUAACUACG
rnacentral:rRNA from 1 species